rnacentral:rRNA from 1 species
GAUGAACGCUGGCGGCGUGCCUAACACAUGCAAGUCGAACGGAGUCCAGCCUUUACGACCUUCGGGUCAAAGAGGGGAAGACUGAGUGGCGGACGGGUGAGUAACUCGUGGGCAACCUGGCUCAUAGAGGGGGAUCACUGAGAGAAAUUUCUGCUAAUACCGCAUCAGCACACACUGCCGCAUGGCAGUGGGUGAAAAGAGAAUCGCUAUGUGAUGUAACCGCGUCUGAUUAGUCAGUUGGCAGGGUAAGAGCCUACCAAAGCGACGAUCAGUAGCCGAUCUGAGAGGAUGAACGGCGACAUUGGGACUGGGACACGGCCCAAACUCCUACGGGAGGCAGCAGUGGGGGAUAUUGCACAAUGGGGGGAACCCUGAUGCAGCGACGCCGCGUGAGUGAAGAAGUAUUUCGGUAUGGAAAGCUCUAUCAGCAGGGAAGAUAAUGACAUUACCUGAAGAAGAAGCCCCGGCUAACUACGUG